rnacentral:lncRNA from 1 species
AAACGCAAUUUUCAUAUGUGCUUUAUGAGUUUUUUCUUGUAACCCAAGCUUUGUCAACUUUUGAGAGUGUGCGGAUCAAGACACCUCCUUUUACCGCACUCCUCGUCUUCAUCGUCCUCGCUAAUGGCUCCAAACUCGCUCUGACCAACUCCAAGUUGCCUUCAACAGUAGGGUACGUGGGAAUUUGAGUUAGCAUUGCCCAAUUGCUAAUGAACAAGCAAGCAAGCUAAGGCACUGAAAACAGUGUCCAACUUCAUAACUAUUGACGCCCUGCCUGUGGACAAUUAACAACCGUAAGCUUCUUCAAACACGGCAUUUGAUGCAAUAAUGGCGAAAAGUACUUGCAAUUCCAGCAGUCUGGCCUUGAUAAAUAUAUAGUGAUAGCAUACAAGAGUUUGAACCUUGUUUCCAUUUCGUAACUCGAAAUGUGCAUCCUCGUCUUUAAAUAGUGUCCAGAUGACGAGUUUUCGAGGUCAUGUUUUUCAGGAUAUCAUACCCCCCUGCUAUAGAAUCAGCAAAAUCAUGCAUCAAAUCGUACAUUGUUCUACAUGUUGACACAUUUCCAUACUCAUCCAUCUUCACCUCCACCGUAACAUUUUGAAGCAUCCUACACCUUCAUCGAUCUUCCGACUCUACGUAUCCUUGCGCAGCCCGAAAGUGAACCAACAAAUUCAAACACUCUACCAGCAGCAUAUAUAACUCAAUAUCGCCAGCCUUUGAAGCUUCUGCACAGUAUCUACAGCUGCAGUUUGAAAUUGAAUAGUCACAGCUGCAGUUUCUGAACGAACUAUCAACUUUAGACAGAAAACAGGAUCAAAAUCACAAUAAAUAAAAAUCGAUUUUGAUGAAUCAACAGCCUAGGCCUACGAUCAAAUUACCCUUUAAAACCCUUGAAGUUUGAAACACAAAUGAAAACCAGAAGCCAAAACAAACCCCAUGAAGCCACCCCACAGCUGCUGAAAAUUCAGUCCCUGAAUUAGCAGGAAAGCAAACCAAGCAAAUGGUAUCCAGCAAUGGUAGUCCAAAUUCCCCACAAACACAUCAUGGAAAUUUUGAUGAGAAUGCAAUGAACAGUUAUGCCUCACACAAUAUCCAGGAGGAGCUGAAAAGUAAAAACUUCACACCAGACCCAUACCAGACCCCACGUAUUCGAUGCAAUAGAGUUAAGACUAUAGCAAAACACAGCAAGGCUGCCCCUAUCGAAUUCAUAUAAUCAACUCAACUCAUAAUUAUGCGUUGAGACUUGAGAUGUCUUACAACUAGUUAUAAACAAAGAUUAUAUGAAAUCAAUCAGUGUUGCUAGAAACGGCAAAAGUAACUAAUACUUUGAACUUCAGAAUUCCCAUAAACAAAGGAGAAAUAACCCAGCUGGUAUAGUGGUUUUGUCUUCUUCCC